UCCUUGGCCACGCAAGUUACCUGUGUGCCCAGAGAGGCAGCGGAUUUCACCGGAUGAUUAAAACCCAGGGGAAUUCAAAGUUCACCCAAACGCGUCUGUAUAACGUACCUUGUUCAACUCCUGCUCAUAGACUCGUCCUCCGCCUGUCUGUGUGGUCCCGGAGGGUCGUGGAAGGAAGUUUCCAAAAUUGAGCCGGGUCAAGACUCAGCAGAGUCUAGCAAGAGCAGAAUGAAGAAGUCUUUGGCUGGUUCAAGUCCCCCGUUCAAUGGGCUGCUCGAAGCCAGGACUGGGUAAUUCUUUCCAGACGCCUUGACUUCUCCUUCUUCUUCGCUGUGGUUGCCUUUCUGCCUCCUCCAACUUAAGGGGGUCUUAACAAGUGAGCCGGUGGGUGUUUUAAUA
rnacentral:lncRNA from 1 species